rnacentral:rRNA from 1 species
UACGAAGGGGGCUAGCGUUGUUCGGAAUUACUGGGCGUAAAGCGUGCGCAGGCGGCUUCUCAAGUCAGGGGUGAAAGCCCAGAGCUCAACUCUGGAAUUGCCUUUGAGACUGAGUGGCUUGAGUACGAGAGAGGUGAGUGGAAUUCCCAGUGUAGAGGUGAAAUUCGUAGACAUUAGGAAGAACACCGGUGGCGAAGGCGGCUCACUGGCUCGUAACUGACGCUCAUGCACGACAGCGUGGGGAUCAAACGGG